rnacentral:rRNA from 1 species
GAUGAACGCUGGCGGCGUGCCUAAUACAUGCAAGUCGAGCGAACAGAUGAGGAGCUUGCUCCUCUGACGUUAGCGGCGGACGGGUGAGUAACACGUGGAUAACCUACCUAUAAGACUGGGAUAACUUCGGGAAACCGGAGCUAAUACCGGAUAAUAUAUUGAACCGCAUGGUUCAAUAGUGGAAGACGGUUUUGCUGUCACUUAUAGAUGGAUCCGCGCCGCAUUAGCUAGUUGGUAAGGUAACGGCUUACCAAGGCAACGAUGCGUAGCCGACCUGAGAGGGUGAUCGGCCACACUGGAACUGAGACACGGUCCCGACUCCUACGGGAGGCAGCAGUAGGGAAUCUUCCGCAAUGGGCGAAAGCCUGACGGAGCAACGCCGCGUGAGUGAUGAAGGUCUUCGGAUCGUAAAACUCUGUUAUUAGGGAAGAACAAAUGUGUAAGUAACUAUGCACGUCUUGACGGUACCUAAUCAGAAAGCCACGGCUAACUACGUG